AUAUUUAGGAACAAAUUACCAUGCCGAUACCAUUGCAGCCCAUCGAAAUAAUCGGGGAUGGGCCACAUGUCCUGCCGAACUUAGGAAUAAUAUAUUUCCCGCAGCAAAAUGUCAUUGUGACCAGGACGAGGGUGGUCAGGAUUCGCAGGAGGGUCCAUUUUUCGAAAUUCAAUCUGUUUUUACAGUGGGUAAAAACUAAAUUUUGGAAAUUUCAGCGGAUAUUGAAGCGAAAAAUGGACAAAAAGUCAAUAAUAGCUAUCGUUUGUUCGAUA